rfam:Gossypium arboreum cultivar AKA8401 contig_46472_1, whole genome shotgun sequence.
AGUCUAUGGUGUGAGUACUUCCUUAGAAUUGACUUGAAAUGUUCCCAUGCUUCGUACAAGGAUUCACUUUCAUAUUGCUUGAAAUUGGCGAUUUCUCGUCUGAGCU